AUUGAACGCUGGCGGCAUGCCUUACACAUGCAAGUCGAACGGUAACAGGUCUUCGGAUGCUGACGAGUGGCGAACGGGUGAGUAAUACAUCGGAACGUGCCCGAGAGUGGGGGAUAACGAAGCGAAAGCUUUGCUAAUACCGCAUACGAUCUCAGGAUGAAAGCAGGGGACCGCAAGGCCUUGCGCUCACGGAGCGGCCGAUGGCAGAUUAGGUAGUUGGUGGGAUAAAAGCUUACCAAGCCGACGAUCUGUAGCUGGUCUGAGAGGACGACCAGCCACACUGGGACGGAGACACGGCCCAGACUCCUACGGGAGGCAGCAGUGGGGAACUUUGGACAAUGGGCGCAAGCCUGAUCCAGCCAUGCCGCGUGCAGGAUGAAGGCCUUCGGGUUGUAAACUGCUUUUGUACGGAACGAAAAGACUCUGGUUAAUACCUGGGGUCCAUGACGGUACCGUAAGAAUAAGCACCGGCUAACUACGUGCCAGCCGCCGCCGUAA
rnacentral:rRNA from 1 species